rnacentral:rRNA from 1 species
GACGAACGCUGGCGGCGUGCUUAACACAUGCAAGUCGAGCGGUAAGGCCCUUUCGGGGGUACACGAGCGGCGAACGGGUGAGUAACACGUGGGUGACCUGCCCUUAGCCCUGGGAUAAGCCUGGGAAACUGGGUCUAAUACCGGAUAUGACUCCAUGACGCAUGUUGUGGGGUGGAAAGCCUUGUGCGGCUAGGGAUGGGCCCGCGGCCUAUCAGCUUGUUGGUGGGGUGAUGGCCACCAAGGCGACGACGGGUAGCCGGCCUGAGAGGGCGACCGGCCACACUGGGACUGAGACACGGCCUAGACUCCUACGGGAGGCAGCAGUGGGGAAUCUUGCGCAAUGGGCGAAAGCCUGACGCAGCGACGCCGCGUGAGGGAUGACGGCCUCGGUUGUAA